rnacentral:tRNA from 2 species
AUUUAAGUAGUUUAUUAAAAUAUGGGCUUGUGGCGCCCAAGAUGCUUGUUUGGCCUUAGAUA